GACGAACGCUGGCGGCGUGCUUAACACAUGCAAGUCGAACGGAAAGGCCCUGCUUGCAGGGUACUCGAGUGGCGAACGGGUGAGUAACACGUGGGUGAUCUGCCCUGCACUUCGGGAUAAGCCUGGGAAACUGGGUCUAAUACCGGAUAGGAGCCAUUUUUAGUGUGAUGGUUGGAAAGUUUUUUCGGUGUAGGAUGAGCUCGCGGCCUAUCAGCUUGUUGGUGGGGUAAUGGCCUACCAAGGCGGCGACGGGUAGCCGGCCUGAGAGGGUGGACGGCCACAUUGGGACUGAGAUACGGCCCAGACUCCUACGGGAGGAAGCAGUGGGGAAUAUUGAACAAUGGGCGCAAGCCUGAUGCAGCGACGCCGCGUGGGGGAUGACGGCCUUCGGGUUGUAAACUCCUUUCGCUAGGGACGAAGCUUUUUGUGACGGUACCUAGAUAAGAAGCACCGGCUAACUACGUG
rnacentral:rRNA from 1 species